rnacentral:rRNA from 1 species
CCUACGGGAGGCUGCAGUGAGGAAUAUUGGUCAAUGGGCGCGAGACUGAACCAGCCAAGUAGCGUGAGGGAGGACUGCCCUACGGGUUGUAAACUUCUUUUAUCAAGGAACAAAGUGAGGCACGUGUGCCUUUUUGAAUGUACUGUACGAAUAAGGAUCGGCUAACUCCGUGCCAGCAGCCGCGGUAAUACGGAGGAUGCGAGCGUUAUCCGGAUUUAUUGGGUUUAAAGGGUGCGUAGGCGGGUUGAUAAGUUAGCGGUGAAAUGUCCGGGCUUAACUCGGGAGCUGCCGCUAAUACUGGUGAUCUAGAGUGUAGGUGAGGUAUGCGGAAUGUAGGGUGUAGCGGUGAAAUGCUUAGAGAUCGUACAGAACACCGAUUGCGAAGGCAGCUUACC